CCGAGUCACGUGCUCAAACAACCCUUCUGUGGACCUGAAUUAAACCGUUGCCUCGGCGGGCGGUCCCCUGCCAAAAACCCAUAUGGUGUGUGGGCAGGGGACCAGACAGUCCGGCACGCUUAAGGCGUCCGGCGCCAGCCGCUGGCCCUAAAAUUAAACUCUAGUAACCUUACCUUCUGAGUUUUAAUACAAAAAAUAAGUCA
rnacentral:misc_RNA from 1 species